GGAAAGAUGACCAAAGCAGACCCCCGGUUGCCUCUGCGAGGUAAGCAGCUCAGAGGAGGGAUUUAAAAGAGAACUCUGCAUUGUUCUCGGAGUCACUCAAGCAUAGAAAGGGUGGAAUUCCAUCUGUUCAGUUCAGUUUGGUUCAGUGAACUGGGUCACUUUUAAUGGUUCACUAAAUUCUGACUAUCUAAAAUGACAGUUAAUGUGUUUUAAAAACUCUCUAGCCGCAUGAGAAGAACACCUUAUGACUUGUUCUUCCUUGCCCUUGGGUGGAUCACCUCUGAGAACAGACAGGGAAAGAGCAACAUGGGCCAAAAGAACGUAUGUAUCAGAUGGAGAAAGAUGGGUGAGAACUCUACAGGAGCACCUGGACCAAACUCUGAUCCAACCAGAGGAAAGACCCACACGCUGCAGUGAGAAGAAACACUGACCUCAUCAUCUGCACCCAGCUCUACAGGUACACAGUU
rnacentral:lncRNA from 1 species